CAUUCCAAGCUGCAAAAACUGGCAAGUGAGACAUGGAGAUCGCUGCUGGCCUCAGCUGUACUGCUGUUUGGAACCAAGGAUUAACACCAUUUGUAGGGGUAACGAACUUUGAUGCCAGUGGAGGCUUAGCAAACAGCAUUGUGGUGCCUGUUUUGUCCGGGCUAGCUUCUCUUGAGCUGCUCAAACUGGUCACCAAUGAUGAUGUAUUGGAGGAAUGAGUCCCUAGUCUUGUGGCUGAUUCAUCCACCAUUGGCUGGCUAGAGUUUACUGAAUCAAUACCGAUAAUAUCU
rnacentral:misc_RNA from 1 species